rnacentral:rRNA from 1 species
GCAGUCGAGCGAGCUGAACCAACAGAUUCACUUCGGUGAUGACGUUGGGAACGCGAGCGGCGGAUGGGUGAGUAACACGUGGGGAACCUGCCCCAUAGUCUGGGAUACCACUUGGAAACAGGUGCUAAUACCGGAUAAGAAAGCAGAUCGCAUGAUCAGCUUAUAAAAGGCGGCGUAAGCUGUCGCUAUGGGAUGGCCCCGCGGUGCAUUAGCUAGUUGGUAGGGUAACGGCCUACCAAGGCAAUGAUGCAUAGCCGAGUUGAGAGACUGAUCGGCCACAUUGGGACUGAGACACGGCCCAAACUCCUACGGGAGGCAGCAGUAGGGAAUCUUCCACAAUGGACGAAAGUCUGAUGGAGCAACGCCGCGUGAGUGAAGAAGGUUUUCGGAUCGUAAAGCUCUGUUGUUGGUGAAGAAGGAUAGAGGUAGUAACUGGCCUUUAUUUGACGGUAAUCAACCAGAAAGUCACGGCUAACUACGUGCCAGCAGCCGCGGUAAUACGUAGGUGGCAAGCGUUGUCCGGAUUUAUUGGGCGUAAAGCGAGCGCAGGCGGAAGAAUAAGUCUGAUGUGAAAGCCCUCGGCUUAACCGAGGAACUGCAUCGGAAACUGUUUUUCUUGAGUGCAGAAGAGGAGAGUGGAACUCCAUGUGUAGCGGUGGAAUGCGUAGAUAUAUGGAAGAACACCAGUGGCGAAGGCGGCUCUCUGGUCUGCAACUGACGCUGAGGCUCGAAAGCAUGGGUAGCGAACAGGAUUAGAUACCCUGGUAGUCCAUGCCGUAAACGAUGAGUGCUAAGUGUUGGGAGGUUUCCGCCUCUCAGUGCUGCAGCUAACGCAUUAAGCACUCCGCCUGGGGAGUACGACCGCAAGGGUUGAAACUCAAGGAAUUGACGGGGGCCCGCACAAGCGGUGGAGCAUGUGGUUUAAUUCGAAGCAACGCGAAGAACCUUACCAGGUCUUGGACAUCUAGUGCAUCCGUAGA